CUUGCUUUGUGGGACCUUUGAAUUUGGCCUUUUGGAGAGAAGUUGUUUUUACAUCCACGUUCCCAUCACUGAGUGCAUUCAUCCUGGAGACCUUCAUUCACUGAGCUUAUGACUUAAAUCCUACCUCCCUUUCUUCCCACAAGGUUCAGGAUAUAGUUGAUCAGACGCUUUAGACCCUGUAUUUUGUGCCAGCCAUGGAUGUCGUGGCC